GGAUGCGGCCCUUCAAGUCACACUGCCCCAGAGAAAGCAAGAGGGGGGGGGGGUCCACAAAAUGUGGGGACCAGAAGCGGAAGUGGGGUGUGCCAUCCGUUUAAACCUCCCUUGGCGCGUUGAGGAGUCUGUAGUUGCUCGGGUACAGGUAACAUUGUCAUAUAAGGAUGUGGUUGUGGACUUCACCUCGGAGGAGUGGCAGCUGCUGGAUGCUGUUUCCAAGAACCUGUACUGGGAUGUAAUGUUGGAAAAUUAUGGCAACCUCGUGUCAAUGGCUUCUUAAGGAAGUUUAUUUCAUUGAGUUCACACCUUUCUCCUCCAAUAUCGGCACUUAGAGGUAAAAAUUUCCGUUUAAGCACUGCCUUUGGUUGUGAAUCACAAAGUUUGAUAUGUUUUAUUUUUAUUAUUAUUCAUUUAAAAAUAUUUUCUAAUUUUCCUUGAGAUUUCUUCUCUGACCCAUGGGUUGUUUGCAAGUCUGUUUAAUUUUCAAAUAUUUGGGCAUUUUCUAGUUAUAUUUUUGUUGAUGUAUUGAUUUCAAAUAUGAUAAGUUGUUGUCAUAGAAUAUUCUUUGUAUCGUUUAAAGCCUUUGAUUUUUAUUGAGACAUUUUAUAACCCAGCACUUGAGAAGAAUUAUGUGUGUAUUAUGCUGUUGUUGGGUGUAGUAUUUCAUAAACGCCAGUUAGGUCAUUUGAGUGAUCAUGUUGUUUAAAUCUCCCUAUGUUUUUACCGUUUUUAGUUGUUGUUCUUGGAUUCUCUAUUCUGGUUGUCUUCUCACUAUUUUUUCCUUUUGUUUCGGUUUAGAUUCUUUCUAUUGGUGUGAAUCCAAGCUCACUGAUUCUUGAUGUUGAGUUCAGUUUGUUAAACACAUCUGAGGGGUGAGGUGAGGGCCAGUCUCUGGAAAUGACAUUCUGGAAGGAUGAGGAUAUCCUGGAUUUCCUGGAAGCUUCUUCAUUCAGGGGGCCGCAGAAAACCCACUCUAGAGAAGCUGAUGGGGAAGUAAGCAAGUUCUCCUAAGGGACUCUCCCAGUGAGGAUGAAGAAGUGAGAUUUAGCAAAACUUCAGCUUCCUUCAUUGUGGGUCAGCUCUGAGCAAUCACGAGGUGGAAAUUGUGCUCUAACUUGAGUUUUCAUUCAUCCUCAGGACAAGUAAAGGAAACCUGAGUGGCAUCAGCAUCAGGUCAAACCAGAGAUGUUUUAUUCUGCUGUCCUUUGAUCCCCAGAUUUCUCCCCAGGAAGCCCAGUGUGAGAAACCACAGCUCCAGUAGGAAUGGGCUGCCCUAGUUCAGGCAGCCUGGGCUCCAGGAGCCAUGAGGUUUCCUUAGUAUAAAGGGCAGGAUACACGAGAUAGGUCGAUUUAAAAAAAUAAUAAUAACCCUUUUAUUGUGAAACAACAAAUGUGCAGAGGAGUGCAUAAAACAUAAAUGUACAGCUUUACUCAUUCUUGUAAAACCGAUACCUCUGUGCCCUCACACAGGUCAAGAAAUAGGAACUUACCAGAACCCUGGAAGCCUGCCAGCCAACCAGAACAGAAUCUUGACAGCUUACCUUGCCCACAUCUGCCACUGCAAGACCAGAGCAGCUCCAGAGGGCCUUCAACAAGGUGUUGGGGACAACACCCUUUCUGUCAAGAUUUACUUUGCUAACUGCACUUCUGUUCACAGAAGUGCCCUCCCAGUGGCUGCCUCACCAGCCCCAUAGGAAGAAGACCAUUUGUUUUUGGGUGGGGACUAUAAAGAUAUGUCUGUGUUUCCAAGAUCUAAUGUUAGUUCUCAUUCUGUUCUCUUGUAAAGACAGCAUUUAUUCAAGUGUUAAUAAUCGGAGGAAUCUGCACAUCACAAAUACCAGGGAGCUUUGUGAAUAAAUACAGAUUCCUGAUUCUGCACCAGACUAUUAAUCAGAUGUCUUGAUGCUGCAGUGACCGAACCUGUAUUUAAAAAAAUAGCUCCCCAAGUGAUUCUGAUGAAACAUCGGUUAUGUAGAUCACCAUUUAGGAAACAGUUACCUAGAUGAUCUUUGGAGCUGGGAGAGUCAUGAGAUGGGAAUGUGAGGAGAAAACCCGGUUGAACUAUUCACAGUGUCCACAUGAAAUAUUGACGCAGAUUUUCUUCUAUCUAGUAGCAGUGGGAACUCUUUGGGGUGGAUAGAUACAGGAGAGAUCUCCAGACCCUCCCAACUGUGGUAUGUACAUUCUGGAAUGAAGGGGACUUCCUGGAUUUACAAAAAAAAAAAAAAAUUUCCUUGUUCAGAUGCACUUAGACAUUCACUUUGGGGGCGCUCACGGAAAAUAACCAAGCUCCUAGGGGUUCUCUCCCAGUGAGGUCCUAGAGCUGAGGAUGAAGCAAGACUUCCAUUGUCCUGCUGUGUGCUGUGGCAGCCACAAGGUGGAGCUCCAUUUCCAGUGAGUUAGUUUUCAUAAACAGAUUUAUAAUCUAAUAAAUCCAGAUUUAGAGAAUUGCAGUGCCUGUAUGAAUGGGUCACCCUACUUCAAGCAGCCUAAAUCCAGAAGCGAUGAAGCUUUCCAGGUAUAAAUGAAAAGGGACCUGAAUUUGAUAUUUUUUCUUAACUUUUAAAAUGUGGAAUAUAACAGACCUAAAGGGAAAAAAAUGAAUAAAAGAUGAAAAUGAAGAUUAAUACAUUUUUAUUAAAGAAACAUCUAUGUACCCCUAGCAACUCAAGACAUAGAUCACUAUCGGCAUUCCAGAAGCCACCUGCCACACAUACUUUUACUCAUCCUCUUCUCUCCCUCCUUCUGACUGUAAACACUGUCUUGACUAUUAUGCUAAUCAAUUCAUCACUUUCCUUUAUACUUUUACCACAUAGUUAUGUAUCCCUAAACUGUAUAGUUUAAUUUUGUUAAUCAAAAUUAUCUUUAAAAUAAAUGGAAUCAUG